CAGCGGUCUGCACUGCAGCGCUUCCCGCGGGGAGGGUGAAGGAAGUGCCUUAAAUUUAGCAGUCAUAAGGUCGAGUGACUCUAUGCCUCCAUGGCCUCGAAGUUCUGACAACUCAAUUAAUUUGGUGCGAGGUAUUUGGCUUUACAAAUUUUCUGCAGAAAACACCCGCAAACUGCCCGAGUCAUGAAAACCCAGCAUCAGAAAGCUGCUGGGAUGCAGCGGCCAAACACUCCCACGGACUGCACCUGUAUUUCUGCAGCAUUUGUUCCUCAUCCGGAAGUCACACUUGCAGCAGACUACAAAAAAGCCACCCAAACUUUCUCCAAGAAUAAAGAUAACAUUUACCCCGACCAAUUGUCUGCAGGGGAAAAAAACUUUAGCUGCCUGUCUCAAGCCCUCCCACUUAGCCCAGCUUCAGCUGAAGUGGACACAGCUUGAAGGACAGCCCUAUGGAAAGGAUGCUGGGGUGAAACCAUUCGUCACUGCCCUUGGCGUUAAGUCACCCGGUACUACUCUCUGGCAUUUUGGAAGCUGCUCAGGAUACUUCUACUCUCACACUAAUACAGAACAAAUCCUUUUUUUCCAUUCAACCCUCCCAAGCCUUCCCACGUCAGCCAGCCAGCGGUUGGUGACAGGGUAGGAUGCCAUCUACCUGCCAUCCAGGCUGACAAGAACCUAGCGACAGUAACCGACCCAGGCUACUAUCCCUGUGUCCAGGAAAAGGGAUGUGCAUGCAAAAAGUCUCCUACAGCAAAGCAGGUGGUAUAACAGGUUGAAACAAAGAAUGCAGUCAUAAAGUCAAAUAAAUGAAGACUUGUAAUUUGUCCAUUAA